UCUUCAAGCUCAGAUGGAGCUGAACCUCCCCCCACCUCUCAUGAUUCUUCAUCUUCUUUGAGUGGAGAUCGUGCAGGAGAGGCUGAUGAAGACUAUGUUCCACCAGUUCCUUUGAGGUCUUCAGGGCGUGGAAGAGCUCCAGCCCCAAAAAGAACAACAACCACACACAAAAAGGC